GAUGAACGCUGGCGGCGUGCCUAAUACAUGCAAGUCGAGCGAACAGACGAGGAGCUUGCUCCUUUGACGUUAGCGGCGGACGGGUGAGUAACACGUGGGUAACCUACCUAUAAGACUGGGACAACUUCGGGAAACCGGAGCUAAUACCGGAUAAUAUUUCGAACCGCAUGGUUCGAUAGUGAAAGAUGGCUUUGCUAUCACUUAUAGAUGGACCUGCGCCGUAUUAGCUAGUUGGUAAGGUAACGGCUUACCAAGGCAACGAUACGUAGCCGACCUGAGAGGGUGAUCGGCCACACUGGAACUGAGACACGGUCCAGACUCCUACGGGAGGCAGCAGUAGGGAAUCUUCCGCAAUGGGCGAAAGCCUGACGGAGCAACGCCGCGUGAGUGAUGAAGGUCUUCGGAUCGUAAAACUCUGUUAUUAGGGAAGAACAAACGUGUAAGUAACUGUGCACGCCUUGACGGUACCUAAUCAGAAAGCCACGGCUAGCUACGUG
rnacentral:rRNA from 1 species